UUAGCGCGAGCGAGAGGUAGCGACAAGGCAGACGCAAAAUGGCGGACAACGACGGGAUGCAGAAGAUGCUUCCUGAAGCAGACGCUUUUAAACGUAAAUAUGCUCGACACCCAUUGUGUGCCCGAACGUCGUACAGCUGCAACAAGCUUUUUCUCUUUAUUUAUACUCUGCUUUUCCUGUUUGUGGGCAUCAUCUUGGUUGCCAUCGGCGUGUUGGUAGAGUUGCACAGGCAGCAAGUGGCCGAUCUAAACAACCAGUUAUCUCUGCCUGUGGCUCUUCUGAUUGUUGUGGGACUAGUCAUUGCUGCCAAUGCCCUUUGUGGCAUGGUUGGGACGCUUACUGAAAACAUCAUUCUUUUGAAAGUGUUUCUGGUCAUUACUGUGAUUUCCUUUCUGGUCCAAGUCACCAUUGGUGUAAUUGCUUUCAUCUACAGAGAACAGACUGCCAAGCGAGUUGCCUCAGUCCUAAGUACAGAGUUAAUGUUUGCUGUGGAAGGUUACAAAGAGAAUGAGGGACUUGCAAGAGCUAUGGACUACCUACAGAACCGGUAUGAGUGCUGUGGACUGAGGUCAUACCGAGACUACUCAGAGAUGAAUGAGGACUAUUUCUGCAGACAUGGAAAGUUGUGUGGAGUACCUGCUAGCUGCUGUCGAAGUCAGGAGGGAAUAAAGCUGUCAGAAACUUGUGGCCAUGAUGUUAUUGGAAACUUGACUGCUCAGAAGUAUAUUUAUACCAAUGGAUGCACCCACUUCUUCAUGCACUGGCUGCUAGAGCACCUUGACCUGACUGGAGCUAUAGCUCUUGGCUUUGCCAUUCCACAGGUUGGUCUUAAAGAAACAAGAAAGAAGCUGGUUCUUGCAUAAAUACAUUACAAUACCAAAGAAGCUUGUAGAGGAAAUCAUGAAGACUACAACAAAAGAAAUUCAGCAGAAAAAGAUUAUUGGAAUCCUGCUGGUGUACUUUUUCAUCCGCCGUGUUGGACAGUACCAGAAGGGUUAUCGUGUGGGCCAGUAUUUUGGCUAGAAGAAUUGUGACAUAGUUUUUUUCCAAUUGUAGAUGCUAGUCACAUGCACCAGUAGGCUAAUACACAUCAGAAUAAUGCCAGGUGUAAAAGCAGCUGUGAAAUCUUGUUAGUUGCUGGUCUUACCAGAUGGAGCAGUUACAGUUAGCUUUUGAAGAAGCAGUCAUUGAAGGAACAUUUCAUGUUAAAAACCUUUUCCCUUUUCCGCAUAUUUGGACUGUUAAGGAUUUGUGCAACAACAACAAAAAAUCUUUUAAGGCUGCCUGAUCACAGUCCAUGCUGACUGCCAAUUUCUUCAGGUGCAUCUAUCUGUUUUGCCAUAUAAAAAGAUAAGAUCUUUGAUAUUUGUCAUUAGACAUUGUGUGAGAAGCUUUCCAGGCUUUACCUGGUGCAGAAGGUGAGCAGUGCAAUUCCCUUUGAAUCUCAGAUGUCUUCAUCACACCUUUUCAUUAUUUGUUUACUGUUUUUAUUUUAAUGAGCUUUUUGGCAUUUCUCUUCCCUCCAUCCAGACAUUUUUUUGGAUAUUGGAUAUUGUUGAUAUUUUUUUUACGCUAACUUGGAUUUGUCACAUCCUGGUUUGAAAUGAUCUCUUCAUGUAAUAUAAAGUCAACUGUGAAAAUCUG
rnacentral:misc_RNA from 1 species